UACGUAGGGUGCAAGCGUUAAUCGGAAUUACUGGGCGUAAAGCGUGCGUAGACGGUCGCGUAAGUCAGAUGUGAAAGCCCCGGGCUCAACCUGGGAAUUGCAUUUGAGACUGCUCUGCUCGGGUGCGGAAGAGGGAAGCGGAAUUUCCGGUGUAGCGGUGAAAUGCGUAGAUAUCGGAAGGAACACCAGUGGCGAAAGCGGCUUCCUGGUCCGACACCGACGUUCAGGCACGAGAGCGUGGGGAGCAAACAGG
rnacentral:rRNA from 1 species